rnacentral:rRNA from 1 species
AUGUCGUACAUGCGAGGCGACCUGCUGACGAAGACGCGGAAACUGGUGAAGGGGCUGGCCAAGCCCGCCCCUGCCUGGCUCAAGGCCAUGGAGCAGGCACCUCCAGUCACAUUCCCUAGAACUGAUGGUAAAAUCGAGAAGAUAGAACUGCCAGAGGAUGUCUAUGUCAAGAGGUUCUUCAGAAGGCAUCCUGAUUCACUCUACCAUGAUGCAAUAAAGAUAAGCGGGUUUGAUCCACCGCCAGCAAGAGUUUUUGCUUGGCGUGUCUUAGAGUUGAAAGAACAGGGAGUCAAUGAAGAUGAUGCAAUGGCUGUAGCAGAUAUGGAGUAUGGAGCAGAGAAAAAAGCAAAGAAGCUAGCAUACAAGGAACUGAAACAAAUUGCACGCAGAGAAGGAAAGCCACCACCUCCAAAUCCAUAUCCAAGCGCUAUCAAAGAAAUACAGGCAGAGGAAAAGAAGUAUGUUAGGGACCGUUUCCAUAACCCAAAGGUACUCGAGAUCGUGAAUAAGAUGAAAGAGGACAGACAGAUGUUUCUUCAAGAUAGAGCGGCAGCAUCAGGUGCAUCAGGUGAAGGACAGUAA